rnacentral:rRNA from 1 species
CGGGUUGUAAAGCACUUUCAGUAGGGAGGAAGGUAGUGUAGUUAACACCUGCAUUAUUUGACGUUACCUACAGAAGAAGCACCGGCUAACUCCGUGCCAGCAGCCGCGGUAAUACGGAGGGUGCGAGCGUUAAUCGGAAUUACUGGGCGUAAAGCGCAUGCAGGCGGCCUGUUAAGUCAGAUGUGAAAGCCCGGGGCGUUAACCUCGGAAUUGCAUUUGUAAACUAGGCAGGCUAGAGUCUUGUAGAGGGGGGUAGGAAGUUUCAGGUGUAGCGGUGAAAUGCGUAGAGAUCUGAAGGAAUACCAGUGGCGAAGGCGGCCCCCUCGGACAAAGACUGACGCUCAGAUGCGAAAGCGUGGGGACGCAAACAGGAUUAGAUACCCUGGUAG